rnacentral:rRNA from 1 species
GAUGAACGCUGGCGGCGUGCCUAAUACAUGCAAGUCGAGCGAACAGACGAGGAGCUUGCUCCUCUGACGUUAGCGGCGGACGGGUGAGUAACACGUGGAUAACCUACCUAUAAGACUGGGAUAACUUCGGGAACCCGGAGCUAAUACCGGAUAAUAUCUUGAACCGCAUGGUUCAAUAGUGAAAGACGGUUUUGCUGUCACUUAUAGAUGGAUCCGCGCCGCAUUAGCUAGUUGGUAAGGUAACGGCUUCCCAAGGCAACGAUGCGUAGCCGACCUGAGAGGGUGAUCGGCCACACUGGAACUGAGACACGGUCCAGACUCCUACGAGAGGCAGCAGUAGGGAAUCUUCCGCAAUGGGCGAAAGCCUGACGGAGCAACGCCGCGUGAGUGAUGAAGGUCUUCGGAUCGUAAAACUCUGUUAUUAGGGAAGAACAAAUGUGUAAGUAACUAUGCACGUCUUGACGGUACCUAAUCAGAAAGCCACGGCUAACUACGUG